UAGGGAGCCAAGAUCGAGGCCAUAACAUAUAUGUAUGAGACAGUCAAACAUUUCGACAAUUUGCUCCAUGAAAAGCAUGUUUACAAGAUGCAUAAUGUAAAGUUCAGUCUUCAUCCGGGUGAAUUUAAUUUUCGUCAUCUAAAUGGUCCCAUGGAAUUGUGUCUUGACCAACAAACUAUCGUGGAGCCAUACAUUGUUCCAAUUCAAAUGGCGCCAUUCCCAAAACAAAUACUCUUGAACCUUGCUGAUAUUGCCGAGUUGCCAAACAGGACUUUAGUCGACAUUAUGGCUAUUGUAGUCCACUUGGAUACAAUUCAUCGCACAAUGUGGGGACCUUUCAGAAAGAUUGUUAUAAUGGAUGCUAGAGGGUAUUUACAUAUCAUUAAAGUUUGG
rnacentral:misc_RNA from 1 species